CACCGCGGUUAUACGAGAGGCCCAAGUUGACAAAAAACGGCGUAAAGAGUGGUUAAGAGAACAUAAUACUAAAGCCGAAGGCCCUCAGAGCCGUCAUACGCCCCUCCGAAGGCAUGAAACCCAACUACGAAAGUGGCUUUACUUGACCUGACCCCACGAAAGCUGAGAAA
rnacentral:rRNA from 1 species